UCCAAGGAAGGCAGCAGGCGCGCAAAUUACCCACUCCCGGCACGGGGAGGUAGUGACGAAAAAUAACGAUACGGGACUCAUCCGAGGCCCCGUAAUCGGAAUGAAUACACUUUAAACCUUUUAAUGAGUAUCCAUUGGAGGGCAAGUCUGGUGCCAGCAGCCGCGGUAAUUCCAGCUCCAAUAGCGUAUAUUAAAGUUGUUGCGGUUAAAAAGCUCGUAGUUGGACUUGUGUCCCACGCUGUCGGUUCACCGUUCGUCGGUGUUAACUGGCAUGUCCGUGUGGACGUCCUGCCGGUGGAUGCGGCCGGCCGUGGGCCUCUGGUNUGCGUGUCGGCGGUCCGAGGGAAUCCCAUCGCGGUGCUCUUCACCGAGUGUCGAGGUGGGCCGGCACGUUUACUUUGAACAAAUUAGAGUGCUCAAAGCAGGCAAGGGUUCGCCUGAAUAUUGUGUGCAUGGAAUAAUGGAAUAGGACCUCGGUUCUAUUUUGUUGGUUUUCGGAACAUGAGGUAAUGAUUAAUAGGGACAAAUGGGGGCAUUCGUAUUGCGACGUUAGAGGUGAAAUUCUUGGAUCGUUGCAAGACGAACCUAAGCGAAAGCAUUUGCCAUAAGUGUUUUCAUUAAUCAAGAACGAAAGUUAGAGGUUCGAAGGCGAUCAGAUACCGCCCUAGUUCUAACCAUAAACGAUGCCAGCCAGCGAUCCGCCGAUGUUCCUCCGAUGACUCGGCGGGCAGCUUCCGGGAAACCAAAGCUUUUGGGUUCCGGGGGAAGUAUGGUUGCAAAGCUGAAACUUAAAGGAAUUGACGGAAGGGCACCACCAGGAGUGGAGCCUGCGGCUUAAUUUGACUCAACACGGGAAACCUCAUCAGGCCCGGACACCGGAAGGAUUGACAGAUUGAGAGCUCUUUCUUGAUUCGGUGGAUGGUGGUGCAUGGCCGUUCUUAGUUGGUGGAGCGAUUUGUCUGGUAUCA
rnacentral:rRNA from 1 species